rnacentral:rRNA from 1 species
UACAGAGGGUGCGAGCGUUGUUCGGAAUCACUGGGCAUAAAGCGCACGUAGGCGGCGACGUAAGUUGGGUGUGAAAUCCCUCGGCCCAACCGAGGAACUGCGCCCAGUACUGCGUUGCUUGAGGAUCCAAGGGGUGCAUGGAAUUCCCGGUGGAGCGGUGAAAUGCGUUGAUAUCGGGAGGAACUCCGGCGGCGAAAGCGGUGCACUGGUGGAUUUCUGACGCUGAGGUGCGAAAGCCAGGGGAGCAAACGGG